AUUUUUUUUUUUGCCUUAAAAUUAACUUGAUUUGUUUAAAUACAAUCUAAAAUAAUUAACGAAUUAUAUUUAGAAAAUUGGCCUCUAUUGUCGUUCUUCCGAGUUUAAUUUUCCUUGCGUUUUCAUUGGUUUUCAUAAACUCCGUUUUGACAUUGACUGAGAGUACGGUACUUUGACAAGUUUGAUUGACACUAUCUACUGUAGGCAGUAGGCCUGGAAAAAUCAAAACAUUAUCAUAAUUUAGUUUUUAACUCAAUAACAUGGAUAUAAUGUGGAAGCAAUGACCUCUUAUCGCCUUCAAUUGAAAUUAUAGAAGUAAAUUAGCAGAAAUAUUACAAAGCAAGAUGUUAGAAACUGAUGAAGUUGAUGAUGACUUCUUUACCCCAGUAGCUGGCACAUCACUGGCCAAUAUCUUUGGUAAUGUGACAAAAAGCGAUGGGAAAGCAAAUGACUCAUUAAAGUACGUUCCUCCGAAGCCACAAAACAUUGUUCCAAAACCAGAACCAGCAAAGACAACUGAAUGCAUAUUUGCCUGUGCACUCAUUGGACAUGAAUGGUUCAACAAUGUAUACACAGCAAGAGGGAAAAUAGGUUUUGCCAUUGUUAAAAUACAGAAAACUGGUGCUCAUAACAUUGUACUCUAUGACUCUAACAAAACUACCUUGUCUUGUACCACAAUUUCAUCCAAUUUAGAGGUCACAAUUAAAAACAACACUUAUGUGUCUUAUUAUGAUAAUCAGAGGAAGUACUGGAGUGUAUAUGGUACAAAAGAAGAAGUGGAAAAGGUUGCUGAAUAUUUAACUAAGUUUCAAGUAAACAUUAAAUAUUCAACCUAUACAGAUCAAGAUCCCCCUAAGCCAGCAUCAGAGGAUGCCAUCAAGAUUGCUGAUACUCCAGAUGUAAACAAGAAAAUUGACAAGGGUAGUGAUACUGACUCCUCAAUUAAUAGAAAAACAAAAGCUUCCAUUUUGAACAGGAUGGCAAACAUGGGCCAUUCUGUUUUGCCAACAAGAACCCUUCCUGUAGAAAGAACUAGUGAUUCCUCAGAUACAAUGGAAAUUGAGACUCAACCAAAGUCUGUUAGACACAAACCAGCAAAAAAUAUUCUAAAAAGAAAUAAUCCAGAAAACGUGUCUGACUCACACCAGAUGAUAGAGUCUCAUCAGAGAAUAAUAGUGCCUAAAACAGAAUCUGUAGGAAAUGUUCCUUUAUUUCACACUGGGCAGUUAUUACCAGUUACAAGCACAAAUCUUGUAUCAACUCCCAGCAAUGAAAUGGGCAUGUUUAUAUCAGAACAGAGAAUAAGUAAUAGUGAGCUAAGAAUAAAUAUGAACAGGAUAACUGACAAAGUGGACUCUGUUAUAGAAAAAAUCAAUAACUUUGAACAAAAAGGAAAUUCAAGUAUAAAUUCAGACAUUUUGAUGAAGUUGUUAGCUGAGUAUGAAAAUAAAAUAAAAGUUUAUGAAGAAUUACUGAAACCAGGACGAGAUAAAAGUAUUGAACAUGCUACUAGACCAAUCCUUGCUCAGAAUGACAAUCAAAAUGAAAUAUUGAAGAAUAAAGUCUCUGAAUUAGAAAAGAUCAACCAAGAAAAAAGCAGAGAAAUAUCAUGUCUUCAGGAAGAAAUCAAAAUAUUAAAAAGUAAAUAUGACGAAGAGAGAAGCAGCCAAGCUAGUAGUGAAAAUGCAUUAUUAAAGAAAAUAAAUAAUUUAGAAAACAAUACUAAAGAAAAGGAUGAGGAAUUGUCUACUAUGUUGAAGAAAUAUGACGAUUUAGUCAGCAACACAAAUGUCAAUAAUGGAAAUAUUGGCGAUAAAAUAAAAAAUAUCAUGAAUGAUGCAUUCCAAACCAUUUCUAUUAAUUUUGAUAACAAUGAAAAUUAUACAGGUGAAACCGUAAAGAAAAUCAUAGCAACUGUUAUAAAGAAAAUUACAAUUCAAACAUUAAGUGAAUUAUGAAUAACUGCCAUAACUUCCAGUAAUUCCUUGUAAUUUUAUUCUAAGUUUAAUUUAAUUUUAUGUUAUUGAUAACUAGUUUGUAAACAUCAUUAUUUUAUGUUAUUGUAUAGCAUUAUAAUUAUAUAGUCAACUUAUGAUUGUAGUCAACACCUUAAGAAAAAGAUGAUGUAAAUUGAACCAUAAUAUCAUUUUAGGGUUCUUGUUUUGAAUGGGUGAAAAGAGGCAAGGAGACUCGAUACAAUAAUUGAAUGUUAUGACGUGAAAGUGAUGGCAGAUAGCAGUUUUAUUUUACACUAGCUUCUGCCAGCGGUUUCACCCGCAUCCCGUAGGAACUACUUCCCGUUCCGGGAUAAAAAGUAGCCUAUAGCCAUCCUCGAUAAAUGGGCUAUCUAACACUGAAAGAAAUUUUCAAAUCGGACCAGUAGUUCCUGAGAUUAGCGCGUUCAAACAAACAAACAAACUCUUCAGCUUUAUAAUAUUAGUAUAGAUAGCGAAGGCAGCAAUCGUAACCAGUAAUACCUAUUGAGUUUGUAUUUUAAAAAAAUUAUGGUAGCCUUUCUUACUUUCUUACGACUGUAAUUAAACUUAUGAUAUAACCGAGAAA
rnacentral:misc_RNA from 1 species